AUGAGAGCCAGACCAAAGCUCAGAGAAACCAACCUGGACCUCCACCCAGCUCUGUGUCCUGUAAGAGUGACGUGUCUACACAUGAUAGGUCAGAGGUCACAGUCUGCAGGGUCCAGCUGUCCUUCUGCGAGGAUUGACUGCUCCAAACCUCAACCUCCGUACUUCAGUGCUGAAUCUGGACCAACGAGGUCAGAGAGCUGUGAUGACUCCUUUACAUGUUUGUGUUUUCCUGGAUAAAUCUGACCUGAAACAUCCUCAGAUUGUUACAAAGAUUCAUUAAAAAAAAACAAUAUUGGCUAAGCUUAGAGUGAAUCUCCAUGAAUAAAUGUAAGUCAGUAUUCAGUUCACUUCAAUUUUAUUUAUACAGCUCAAAUCACAAUAAUGGCUGCAUUAGAGUAUUAUAUAUCAUAAGGUAGACCCUACAAUAAUACAUACAGAGAAAAACCCAACAAACAUUUGACCCCCUAUGAGCAAGCACUUUGGCGACAGUGGGAAGGAAAAACUCCCUUUUAACAGGAAGAAACCUCCGGCAGAACCAGGCUCAGGGAGGGGCGGCCAUCUGCUGCGACCGGACGGGGUGAGAGAAGGAAAACAGGAUAAAGACAUGCUGUGGAAGAGAGACAGAGAUUAAUAACAGAUAUGAUUCGAUGCAGAGAGGUCUAUUAACACAUACUGAGUGAGAAAGGUGACUGGAAAGGAAAAACUCAAUGCAUCAUGGGAAUCCCUGUCAGCCUACGUCUAUUGCAGCAUAACUAAGGGAGGAUUCAGGGUCACCUGGUCCAGCCCUAACUAUAUGCUUUAGCAAAAAGGAAAGUUUGAAGCCUAAUCUUGAAAGUAGAGAUAGUGUCUGUCCCCUGAAUCCAAAAUGACAACAUGUUGUUUGAGGUCAAAAAGACUUCAGUCCCAAAGUUGAACAUGUGUCCUUUUAAAAUCCAGAAAUAUCUCCUGCUGUUGUUUUAGAUAUCACAGCAACUGACAAACCAUUACAGGACGGAAGCAGUUUAAAAAAAAAAGUGAAGAGCAGCAACAACACACAGCUCAAAGUUCAAUACUAAUGCACACAGUCAGGAUAAUUAUUCAUAAACUUAAAUUUGAUUUUUUGUUUUUCAAUUUAAUGAAGUUUCAAAGUUUCUUGUAAGCUUUGCAACAUCAUCCCUGGCAUCAAAGCUGACUAAAAAUUACCAAUAUUCUCUUAAUCUGAGAUCUUAAAACUUGACAAAGUUGAUUCAGAUUACGUUAUUUUAACGGAAAUUACUAGAUCUUUAUCCUGUGCUUGAUCUAAUUCUUCAUGGUUCCUCCACAGAGUGGACCAGCAGAGCUCAGAGGUUCCCAGUGGUCAGUCUGCCGAGCAGCAUCAAACACACCUGGACUCCAUAUUUAUGGUCUGUACAUGUACAACAACGACUUUUACAUCUAUUCUGUUCACAGCCAUCUCCAUGCUGCUCUUUGUUGACCAGUGGAUUUUCAGUGUGUCCAACAUGGAUCUGAUGUUUGGCUCCAUGAUUUCAGUCUGAUUGGCUCAUUCAUAAAGUAUUCUGUUCCAGCUGCUGGAGGACAACAUCAUCACUUUUGUGAAGAAUGAGCUGAAGAAAAUCCAGAAAGUUCUGAGUCCAGAUUACCCAGAAUGCUUAGAGAGUCAGAGGGAGGAUGAUGAUCAGA
rnacentral:lncRNA from 1 species